UCUACGGGAGGCAGCAGUGAGGAAUAUUGGUCAAUGGCCGAAAGGCUGAACCAGCCAAGUCGCGUGAAGGAAGACUGACCUAUGGUUUGUAAACUUCUUUUAUAAGGGAAUAAAACGAGGCACGUGUGCAUUUUUGCAUGUACUUUAUGCAUAAGCAUCGGCUAACUCCGUGCCAGCAGCCGCGGUAAUACGGAGGAUCCGAGCGUUAUCCGGAUUUAUUGGGUUUAAAGGGAGCGUAGGGGGUUUGUUAAGUCAGUGGUGAAAGUUUGAGGCUCAACCGUAAAAUUGCAAUUUAUACUGGCAGUCGGAAGUAGAGUGGAGGUUGGCGGAAGGCGUAGUGGAGCGGGUAAAUGCGUAGAUAUCACGAAGAACCCCGAUUGCGAAGGCAGAUGACUAAACAGUGACUGAUAUUGAUGAUUGAAAGUGUGGGGAGCAAACAGGAUUAGAGACCCGGGUAGUC
rnacentral:rRNA from 1 species